UAUCGGAUUGAUACUAAGCCAUGCGAGUCAUUGCAGUAAUGCAAGGCAGACGGCUCAGUAACGCGUAGUCAACCUACCCUAUGGACGGGAAUAACCUCGGGAAACUGAGUAUAAUGCCCGAUAGAACACUAUUCCUGGAAUGGUUUGUGUUCCAAAUGAUUUAUCGCCGUAGGAUGGGACUGCGGCCUAUCAGUUUGUUGGUGAGGUAAUGGCCCACCAAGACUAUUACAGGUACGGGCUCUGAGAGGAGUAGCCCGGAGAUGGGUACUGAGACACGGACCCAGGCCCUAUGGGGCGCAGCAGGCGAGAAAACUUUGCAAUGUGCGAAAGCACGACAAGGUUAAUCCGAGUGGUUUGUGCUAAACGAACCUUUUGACAGUCCUAGAAACACUGUUGAAUAAGGGGUGGGCAAGUUUCUGGUGUCAGCCGCCGCGGUAAAACCAGCACCUCAAGUGGUCAGGAUGAUUAUUGGGCCUAAAGCAUCCGUAGCCGGCUCUGUAAGUUUUCGGUUAAAUCUGUACGCUCAACGUACAGGCUGCCGGGAAUACUGCAGAGCUAGGGAGUGGGAGAGGUAGACGGUACUCGGUAGGAAGGGGUAAAAUCCUUUGAUCUAUUGAUGACCACCUGUGGCGAAGGCGGUCUACCAGAACACGUCCGACGGUGAGGGAUGAAAGCUGGGGGAGCAAACCGGAUUAGAUACCCGGGUAGUCCCAGCUGUAAACUACGCAAACUCAGUGAUGCAUUGGCUUGUGGCCAAUGCAGUGCUGCAGGGAAGCCGUUAAGUUUGCCGCCUGGGAAGUACGUACGCAAGUAUGAAACUUAAAGGAAUUGGCGGGGGAGCACCACAAGGGGUGAAGCCUGCGGUUCAAUUGGAGUC
rnacentral:rRNA from 1 species